rnacentral:rRNA from 1 species
GACGAACGCUGGCGGCGUGCUUAACACAUGCAAGUCGAGCGGUAAGGCCCUUUCGGGGGUACACGAGCGGCGAACGGGUGAGUAACACGUGGGUGACCUGCCCUUAGCUCUGGGAUAAGCCUGGGAAACUGGGUCUAAUACCGGAUAUGACUCCAUGACGCAUGUUGUGGGGUGGAAAGCCUUGUGCGGCUAGGGAUGGGCCCGCGGCCUAUCAGCUUGUUGGUGGGGUGAUGGCCUACCAAGGCGACGACGGGUAGCCGGCCUGAGAGGGCGACCGGCCACACUGGGACUGAGACACGGCCCAGACUCCUACGGGAGGCAGCAGUGGGGAAUAUUGCACAAUGGGCGAAAGCCUGAUGCAGCGACGCCGCGUGAGGGAUGACUGCCUUC